CAAUACUAUAAGAUCAAUGGCACCAUCUACACUUAACCAACAUAGGUCGGUUGCAGCCCUACAUCACGUCCCUACAAAGUUUCCUUUCGUGUUAUUUGAUGACGUUGAGAGCGAUGACUUACCAAAAUUUAAGAGUAUCGUAGCCAGAAUCGUUGUUAAGUUCCCUAGACGUCAUGACAGCCAACAUUUUAUUCUACAAGACAUCACUGGGUCAAAAAUAGAAGCAAUUUCAUACCGCGAUAAUGUCCAAAGAUUUGACACCUUACUCCAACAAGGAUCUACAUAUACAUUAUAUGGAGUGGCGUUCUAUGUAAGCUGGGGGCCGUAUCUAUUUCGGAAUUUUGGACAUAGGCUAGAAUUGACCU